AUUAAUUUUUUGUUUAUUUAAUUAUUUAAUAUAAAUAAUUUUAUUGUAUUUUUGUCUUAGUAUAUUUUAUAGAAUUGAUUUUUUAAAUUAUAGUUUAUUGGUAAUGUAAGUGUUUUAUGAAAUAUUAUUUUAAAUUUUUUUAAGUAGAUUUUAUUUAUUGUACCUUUUGUAUCAGGGUUUAUCAAAAUUUUAGUAUUUAUUUUACUUGUCUCGAUUUGGGUUGAUUUAUAAAUAAUUUAUAGUUAAUGUAUCAUAAUUAUUAUUAAAUUAUUUAUAGAAAUGAGAUGUUAAUCGUUUCCCAAGAUAUCUAGUUUCUUAAGAAAAAAUUUAAUUUUUUAAAGUUAUUUGUUUUUAUUUAAUUUUUUAAGUAAAAAUAUUAACUUAUUUAUUCUUUAAGGGAUAAGCUUUGAAGUUAAUAACCUAUAAUUUAUUUUAUAGAAAUAUAAUAGUAAGCUUUAAACCAGCUAUCUUUAAGAUUACGUUUUAGUUCAUUAUUUUUUAUUUUGAUUUUAUAAAUAUUUUAGGUUUUUUAUUAAGAUUAUUAAUUUAAUUUUAAAAUUUUUGUAAUAAUGAUAGAAGUAGUAUAUUUAUUUGUAUGAAAUUUUUACCUUGUGAACUUAUUAUAAGGAACUAGGCAAAAUUGAUUUCCGCCUGUUUAUCAAAAACAUGUCCUCUUGUUUAUAUUUUGAGGUCUGGCCUGCUCACUGAGCGUAUUUUUAAAGAGCCGCGGUAUUUUGACCGUGCAAAGGUAGCAUAAUCAUUAGUCUCUUAAUUAGUGGCUGGAAUGAAUGGCUUGACGAGAAAUCAACUGUCUCUUAAUAAAUUUUUGAAUUUAACUUUUGAGUCAAAAGGCUUAAAUUCUUCUUUAGGACGAGAAGACCCUAUAGAGCUUGACAUUUUACUUUUAUAUAGUUUUUUGUUUGUCUUUCUAUAUUUAAU